UGUAGGUGGAAGCAGCGGUGGAGGAGGAGGAUGAGGUAGCCAACACUGUUUUUAUAUAUAUAUAUUUUUUAAUUGGGGUAGCCCCCAAAAUAUUGGGACAUAUAAAAAAAGACAACUCUGUUCCGCAGAGUAACUGUUGAUAAUUAUAGUUGCGCAAGCACUUUGUUGACUCCAGAGAACCUCGGACCAAUCGCACAUCCCCGUGGCGGCGACUUUGCAUGCGGAUGUCAUCCAUAUCAACUUUCGAUGCCAGUUUCUGCGCCUACCAUGGUGACCAUGGGUAACGGGGAAUCAGGGUUCCAUUCCGUACAGGGACCCUGAGAAACAGCUACCACAUGCAAGGAAGGCAGCA